rnacentral:rRNA from 1 species
GACGAACGCUGGCGGCGUGCCUAAUACAUGCAAGUAGAACGCAGUUGCGAACGGGUGAGUAACGCGUAGGUAACUGCCUCCUAGCGGGGGAUAAAUAAUGGAAACGAUAGGUAAUACCGCAUACUGUGAGAUGGACCUGCGUUGUAUUAGGUAGUUGGUGAGGUAAAGGCCCACCAAGGCGACGAUACAUACACGACCCUGGAGGGAGAUCGGCCACAUUGGAACCUGGACCAGGGCCAAAAUCCCACGGGAGGCAGCAGUAGGGAAGCUUCGGCAAUGGACGGAAGUCUGACCGAGCAACGCCCCGGGAGUGAAGAAAGGUUUGGGAACGGAAAGCCCUGUUGUGAGAGGAUCGGUAACUAACCAGAAAGGGACGGCUAACUACGUGCCAGCAGCCGCGGUAAUAC